rnacentral:sRNA from 2 species
CUUUAUGAUGCUGCUAACCUUGCGCAGCGUAUUGCCUCGCCAGGACUACCACCCCUUGAGUUCCUAAAUAACAAUCUGGAGAAAAAAGCUGACUUCUGGGAUUAAAAAGGCAUGUUUAUUCGCUGACACACGAUGUAGCAAUUCUUAUUCUAGUCGUUGACGAUGCCCAUGCCAGGGAAUUGGCUUGUGUCUUGCUCCUAUCUCAAUAUCCCGGACAAUGGAAGCCCUCGAUGCUCAACUGGAGGAUAAGGCGGCUUUUCUUCGGUUUUUUCGAAGGGCUUUGACCUGGCUGCCUGAGAGGAGAGCAACAGAAUUCUUUUCUUCUGGUGAGAAGCAUGAAUAUCUUUUGUUGUGACAUUUUGAUUAUCAAAGGAGGUCAUCUGUCGUCGCGCCGGCAAACGGUUCCUCCGCAUCCAUCCAGGUA